rnacentral:rRNA from 1 species
AUUGAACGCUGGCGGCAGGCCUAACACAUGCAAGUCGAGCGGAUGAAGGGAGCUUGCUCCUGGAUUCAGCGGCGGACGUGUGAGUAAUGCCUAGGAAUCUGCCUGGUAGUGGGGGAUAACGUCCGGAAACGGGCGCUAAUACCGCAUACGUCCUGAGGGAGAAAGUGGGGGAUCUUCGGACCUCACGCUAUCAGAUGAGCCUAGGUCGGAUUAGCUAGUUGGUGGGGUAAGGGCCUACCAAGGCGACGAUCCGUAACUGGUCUGAGAGGAUGAUCAGUCACACUGGAACUGAGACACGGUCCAGACUCCUACGGGAGGCAGCAGUGGGGAAUAUUGGACAAUGGGCGAAAGCCUGAUCCAGCCAUGCCGCGUGUGUGAAGAAGGUCUUCGGAUUGUAAAGCACUUUAAGUUGGGAGGAAGGGCAGUAAGUUAAUACCUUGCUGUUUUGACGUUACCAACAGAAUAAGCACCGGCUAACUUCGUG